UAUGCGUAUCUUCCCAAUAAGGCUAUGCAAGUAACAAUACUGCACCACCUAGUCACAUGAUUUUGGGUGGCUAAAGUCUAACGUUCUUCAAAAUAUUAUAGUUGUUUAAGCUUACGGAGGAAGCUCUCAAUUCUAACAAUCUCUUUACUUCACUAUCCAAUAUGCUUUGCUUUCUGUAGAUGUUGUAUGUUAAGAGCUUAGGUUGGAAUUCCUUCGUAGCUUUUUACUUUCUUUUGGGUAACAGUUUUUAAAAAAAUGUUGUGCUGGAGUUAUUUUUCUGAUGGAGAUUGCUUCAGUGACAAUCUAUAUGGGUUUUUGGUGGGAUGUUUUAGUUGGUUGCAAAAUAUUGAUUUCAGGAUAUAUUCUGUGCUUGAUUUUACAGGUCGAGAGUCCUCCAAAUAGGCGAUCAUCUCAGCAGAAUAUAUUGGUGCACUCCAUUUGCUCCGGAGUUGCUUGUUUGCCUGCGUUUCAUACCCGCAGGUGCAGGUAGACAGGCUGACGGUCCCCCUUCUUAGGAUCCUUGUUCAGCGAGAGUUGGUGUGCUCCAUUUGAUCUGGAGAUGCUUUUGAGUUUUUGGUACAAUAUGUUUGUAUACAUAUAUGGGUAUGACGGGGCCCAGUCUCGUCCUUUAUACAGUUGUACACUCUAUUAGA